AUAUCUCCCCAAAAAGUAGCAAGUGCUUCUUUCGACCAUGUCUGCUGACAUGAUCUUUAAUUUGGGAAAGACGGCGAGGAGCUGUGUGGAAGCAUCAUUGUCUGGGAUGUCAGAGACUCGGAAAAGCCCUAAUUAAGGACUCAGAAUAAUUGACAGGUGGUGGAGGUUCACGAAAAGCACACUUGACAUGCAGCGGAACUCAGUGUCUGAGUUGCAAAAAAAUUGGCAAUUGGAGACCUUGAAAAACCAUUGCAGAUAAUCCUUUGUUGAUUACUUCUUGGAGCUAGCACCUACCAGGGAAAUGAGAGGAUUGCUGGGGGCCAUGGCUCCCGCCCCAACCGCCCAGAUGAGAAGUCCCAUCAGAGCCCAUCCUGAAGCUAUGUCCAGUGGGUCUCCUAAGCCAUUUGAUCAGAGAGACUUCCUGGCACAUACCUAAAAAGGAAAAUAUCACCACUGCACAACAGGUAAUGUGAGAAGAGCAGAAUGGAUGCAGUGGAAGUGAACAAGAGCCUGAACUCUCCCCUGCUCAGAGCUGCAUGUGGGAGCCGCACGGUCAGAAGGACAAGGCAUGGUUUGCAUGGCUCAGGGAACAGCUCGUUUAACUUCUUUGUGCCUCAUUUUACUGUUCUAUAGAAUAAGUUUAAUAAUAGUACUCUUUUCAUAGUGUGAUUGGGACAGGAGUAAAUGACCUAGCAUGUGCAAAGCAUUCAGAUCACUAUUUGGCACCUAGAAAAGGAACUAAACAUUUGUCACCACCGUA